CCAGCAAUAGCUCAAUCUUAGAGCAUCUGCUUUGCAUGCAGAAUGCCCCUGUUCCAAUCCCCAGGCAGGCUGGA